rnacentral:rRNA from 1 species
GUAGGGAAUAUUGCGCAAUGGGGGAAACCCUGACGCAGCGACGCCGCGUGAGUGAUGAAGGCCUUCGGGUCGUAAAGCUCUGUUGCAGGGGAAUAAAAAAAUGAAGGUACCCUGUGAGGAAGGAUCGGCUAACUUCGUGCCAGCAGCCGCGGUAAGACGAGGGAUCCUAGCGUUGCUCGGAAUCAUUGGGCGUAAAGAGGGCGUAGGUGGCUUGGUAAGUCAGGUGUGAAAGCCCAGGGCCCAACCCUGGAAGUGCAUUUGAUACUGCUGAGCUUGAGUGUCGGAGAGGUUACCGGAAUACCUGGUGUAGUGGUGAAAUACGUAGAUAUCAGGUGGAACACCGGAGGCGAAGGCGGGUAACUGGACGAACACUGACACUGAGGCCCGAAAGCGUGGGGAUCAAACAGGAUUAGAAACCCCAGUAGUCC